UUUUUUUUUUUUUUGGUGUUUUUUUUUUUUUUUUUUAAUUGAUGUCCACCUCUAGAAUGCAGUGGCAGCCGGAGGCAGCAGAGGGUAGGGCAGGGAAAGCCAUGUUGUAUCUUUUAUUUUCUCUGGAAGAGGCAUUGAGAAAAAGCAGCAUGAUCUUGAAUCCGCGACAAUAUAUCCCGAAGUCUGCUUUCCAGUGCCUGCUGCAUUGUAUUCUGCACAUCUUCCUUCCUUCUUACCCCAUGGUGGAUCUUACCCCAUGGUGGAGUUCUUGAACAGAAUUCUUGAUUUCCAGUGCCAGCAGAGUACAGAGAAUGUUCUAGGCCAGAAUUCCAGCUCCUAGUUGUUGAUACUUAUUAAGUAUCCUGGAUGGCAACACAAAAGUGAUCCUAGAUCGUAGUAGCUAAAGUGUGCUGUGGCUGUGGGAGGGUAACCCCCUCCCUUGACCUGCUCCAUCAGCAGAAGAGGGCAGUGACUUCAGGUUCUUUCCCAGGGAGCUGGACGAAGCGGUAGGACUGAAUGGAAAUUUCAUCUGGUGACUGUACAAGGAGUCAGGCUCAGACUUCUGGAAAACAGGCUUUCCGGAGACAGGUGGAUGAUCAUGAUGACAAGUGUGCAUGCACAGCCCUUGAGAGCACGUCUGGACACAAACUAAUGAAGCUAAGCACUCACUAAAAUUGCUUUCCAUGGCGUGGGAGCAGGAAGCAGCCUAGUCUACAGGGUGAACUGGCUCAGACAGCGCUUCCUUCAGCUGGUCCAGGUUCACCACUCCACAUGUAUGGACUGCCUCCAGAGGGGGCCAGGAUGACUGUCCGAAGGCCUGAUGUUUGCUCUCCCCACCGGGCCUUGCAACAGGGAACCCUCUGAAAUAGCUCUUGCAAAUCCGACGCUUCCUACCCCUGCCCCCCAUCACCAGGUACUCUGCCGAGGAGGUCUGUUUUGUUUCUUUUUUUUUUUUUAAUUUUUAUUACAGUUGAUUUACAAUGUUUUGUCAAUUUCUGCUGUACAGCAAAAUGACCCAGUCAUAUGUGUAUGUAUAUAUAUAUGUAUAUAUAUACACACACACACAUAUACACACACACACACACAUACAUUCUUUUUCUCGUAUUAUUUUCUAUCAUGUUUUAUCACAGGUGGUCCUGUUUUGUUUCUAAUACUCACAAAAGCCUGGAAGGGAUCACAUAAGCCCCACUUGUUAGAUAGGAAACCAAGGCUCUAAAAGCUCAGUGAUUUUCCCUAGGAAAAUAGAAGGUUCAACAUCAUUCCCUAGGAAGGUCUGUCUGACACCAUCGCCCACGCCCUUUUCAUCUCCCCAUCUCUGAAGCAGAAAAGUAGAAGUCCUUCAAGAGCUGAUAUAAGACUGACGCAGGCGGGGUUGGGGGAGGUACUUUCUAUUUCUCACAUAGGAGCCCCGUGGAGUCCACUAACAGGGCUUUAUAACCACAUCAAGUUGAACCCCCUCCUUUCUGCUUGAAUCUAGGCACAGUGUGAUGCAGAUGAGCACAGAGCCUAGAGCCAGCAUGCCUGCUCCACCUCAGACUGACCCUGAUGCCUUUGGCUGGGUGCUCACUAUAAAACAGGGGUGGUGGUGAUGAUGACGUCUUUGUGAGAGGUUACAUGGUAUCUUGUGUGAUGUUAAGAUCACUGCCUGGCAUCUAGGAAGCGGUACCUGUGUGCUUGUUAAAUAAGGUCCUCUGGGUGUCCUGGAGGGUCUCCAGGUGGGACCUGCCUCUUGACUUCUCUCCCUCAAGCCACUGUUUUGGAGAAAGUGUGUUUGCAUUCUUUGCAAACUAUCACAAAUCUCUCUUUAUAAAACCAUAAAGGAUGCCAAGGGCCUUUGCGAGAGGUAGGUAAGGGAGACUGACUUUAUGUAUUUUGCAAAAUCUCAUCUAAUCUCAGAAUAGGAAAGGGCCUGUUACUCUUUCAAGUCACUUUAAAUGGUACCCAUGGAUCUCAGCAUCUCUUGCCCUUUGGGUCUUUACAUUUCACUCACCUUCUUUUUCAAGCUCAAUUAGUGAGGUUUGUUUGUUUGUUUGUUUGUUUUACAUUUUUCUCCUGAUCCCUUUUUGUCUUAUAAAGAUGUUGGGAGGUUGCUGAAAUCCCCUUAAGAGGCAGGUCACUGUUAUUCUGACAGGUGGCCAGCGUUAAGCCUGCCUUCAUCUCCAUCACUUAAGUAAAUAAAUACUGUGACCUAGCCCUUAAGUAGGGAGGAACAGAAGCUGAGAGGAUUUGGGAUUUGUCAGUUGCAGAUAAAACACUUGCUGUGCCCAGAAUGUCUCCUUCCCCCAACUCUCUACCGGCAAGGAGGUACUGCUUUAAUAGAGUUAACAGCCACAUGUUACCUUGGUUUUCCAGGGUCUUCUCAUGCUCUGUUCCCACUUUCAUAGAAGUUUUAAGGUGCUUUUUGUUUCAUUAUUAAGUCAAAAUGAAUGAAGAUAGUAAGUGAAUGUUGAAAAUUCAGCUAUGAGCUGAGGCAUGUGGAAACACUGCUGGGCCUGCAUGGGGCAGGAAGUAAGUGAAUGUGAGGAGGGUUCCUGCACUGGUCAGUCUUAAUGGGUGGGUUCCCAAAAGCUCUAGGCCCACUUCUGGAUGUCAGCUUCUUAAUGCAAAAUGUUUUUUCUCCUACCUUUUAGUGAAGCAGCAGGACUGCUGCAUGUGUGACCACUCGCUAGCACGGCUCUUCCAAAAGUUUAGAGCUGCUUUCCCUUCCUUUUCAAAAUGUCCCCUCUACUUUUCUGCUCCUAUCCUGCUUUUGAUGGAAGAGCAAAACACACUGAUUCAAAAGCCUCUCUGAGGAGUUCCUGUUGUGGCUCAGCAGGUUAAGUAUUGACACAGUGCCCACGAGGAUGCGGAUUCGAUCCCUGGCCUCGCUCAGUGGGUUAAGGACCUAGCAUUGCCAAGAGCUGUGGUGUAGAUCACAGAUGCGGCUUGGAUCCAGUGUUGCUGUAGCUGUGGUGUGGGCUGGGACCUGUAGCUCUGAUUUGACCCCUAGCCCAGGAACUUCCAUAUGCCAUGG
rnacentral:lncRNA from 1 species